AUUCUGCCCAAGCGGGGAAGGAUGAGAAGCUUCGACCAAGGUUCGACUUGAGCGCCAGCGAGAGAGCGUUGCCGCAGGCAACGACCCGAAGGGCGGAGCGCGCAGCGCUGAGUAAUCCUUCCCCCACCACCA
rnacentral:sRNA from 1 species